rnacentral:lncRNA from 1 species
UUUUUGUUUUGUAUUACUCUUUUAACUUUUCAUACUUAUAAAACUUUGCUAUGGAAAACAAAUAUUCAAUUAAAAGUUUUAUCUCUUAUAUUUUGUUGGUACUUUUGGUAAUAAUAUUGGCGUCUUCUCUUACAGAAACGGCCAUUUUAAAAAAUUGGAAUUGCUUAUAUAAAAUUAGAAGUUUCAAUUUUUUUUUUUAUAUGUUCGUUGCAAGAUUUUAGAAACUAAUACACACAAAUUUUAGAAGAUAUACGUGCAUCUUUCUUUCCCAUAACUGAAAUUAUUUCAAAAAUCAUGAUCCCAUGCAUAUAUGAAUCUAAUUAUCUUUGUAACGUAAAAAUCUAUAACUUCUAAUAGUUUUAUUCGUGGCUCAUUUAUGUAGGAAUCUAUUAAUUAAAAUACAUUUUUUUGUUCAUUAUUCCCUGGUUUAUGUUUCUUCCAUAAACUAUAAAAUAAUUAACAUCAUGUACAAAUCGGUGCAUUCAACCACCACGACCCAUAUACAUAGACGACGGAAACUCUAAAGCUCCUCUUUGCCGCUAGCUAAUGAAAUUGGGGUGCUGGUCUUGAACCACUUGGCGGUGUUCUUAUUUCCACUGUUGGAUAAAUCGACGUUAAUUAGUCCUACAAAAAGAAAAAAAAAAAUAUAUAUAUAUAUAUAUAUAUAUAUAUAUAUAUAUUGUUUCUACUUACAAAGUUUGCGGAUUUGGUAUGGCCAAGUUGAAGAUGCACAAGAUGAAAUCGCGAAAGAGAGAACCAAAAACAAAGCAAUCAACCACAAGCUUCCCUUCAUUUUAUUUCGAUCUUAAUUUGUGUUGUUGGAGUAGGUUACAAAGUUUCUACGCAUGCAUAUGUGUAUUUAUAUCAAUUCAUAUUUUAUACGUGAUGUUUAGAGAGAAGCAGCGUAGGAAAAUUAUAAAGUCUGACCGAGUAUAACUAAGAAGAGGUCUUCGACGUAGACAUACAUGAGAAACUUU